UGAGGAAUUUUGCGCAAUGGGAGCAAUCCUGACGCAGCAACGCCGCGUGGGUGAUGAAGGCCUUCGGGUCGUAAAGCCCUGUCAGGUGGGAAGAAUGUCCCGGGACUGAACAGGUUUUGGGAGUGACGGUACCACCAGAGGAAGCACCGGCUAACUCCGUGCCAGCAGCCGCGGUCAUACGGAGGGUGCCAGCGUUAUUCGGAAUGACUGGGCGUAAAGCGCGUGUAGGCGGUCCUGCAAGUCUGAUGGGAAAGCCCCGGGCUUA
rnacentral:rRNA from 1 species